CUACGGGGUGCACCAGGCGCGAAACCUUUCCAAUGCACGAAAGUGCGAGAGGGGGAGCCUGAGUGAUAUCGCUUAUGCGAUGUCUUUUAUACACUUGAAAGAGGUGUAGGAAUAAGUGGUGGGCAAGACGGUUGCCAGCCGCCGCGGUAAUAACCGCGCCACGAGUGGUAGUCACGUUUAUUGGGCCUAAAGCGUCCGUAGCUGGUCUGAUGUGUCUUUGGUGAAAUCCAAUAGCAAACUAUCGGGCUUGCUGAAGAUACUAUCAGACUUGGGACUGGGAGAGGUCGAGGGUAUAUUACGGGUAGGGGUAAAAUCCUUUAAUCCGUAAUGGACCACCUGUGGCGAAGGCGCUCGACUGGAACGGAUCCGACAGUGAGGGACGAAAGCGUGGGGAGCGAUCGGGAUUAGAUACCCUAGUAGUC
rnacentral:rRNA from 1 species